rnacentral:rRNA from 1 species
CGGGUGAGUAAUACUUGGGCAAUCUGCCCUCGAGAGGGAAACAACCUGCCGAAAGGUGGGCUAAUGUCCCAUAAGACCACAGAACGACAUCGUUCAGGGGUCAAAGGUCCGCAAGGGCCGCUUGAGGAGGAGCCCGAGUCCUAUCAGGUAGUUGGUGAGGUAACGGCUCACCAAGCCUACGACGGGUAGCCGGCCUGAAAGGGUGAUCGGCCACACUGGCACUGAGACACGGGCCAG